rnacentral:rRNA from 1 species
UACGAAGGGGGCUAGCGUUGUUCGGAAUCACUGGGCGGAAAGAGCGCGCAGGCGGUCGUUCAAGUCGCGUGUGAAAGCCCCCGGCUCAACUGGGGAGGGUCACGCGAUACUGAUCGACUCGAAGGCAGGAGAGGGUAGUGGAAUUCCCGGUGUAGUGGUGAAAUGCGUAGAUAUCGGGAGGAACACCAGUGGCGAAGGCGACUACCUGGCCUGUUCUUGACGCUGAGGCGCGAAAGCUAGGGGAGCAAACGGG